CCAACACACCGUCUCACUCCCCUUUCUACGUGGAUGUCCUUUGUAAAUGAGGCAUGAGUCCCUUGGAAGACUAAGGACAACCAGAGGGUUACCUAAAAACCUCUGGCACCGCGAGGGCAAAGUCAGGAGGAGGAGGCAACCUCGGUGAACUGCUAGCAAAGAAGAAGAAAAUGAAAUCUGUAACCAAGAAGAAAGAAAUUUCUGCCCCCUGUGGGGGGAAGAAAGGAGCCCACGGAGGCCGGGCUGGAGGUGGAGGUGGAAGCGGGCCUUGUUCCCAGAGAGCUGCUGAGCCCCAGGGAGGGCGCAGAGGCAGCAGGCGCGGGGACGGCUCAUGCCUCCCUCCAGGAGCCUGUCCUCAUGGGCACAAGGGACGGAAAAUCACCCAAGGAAUGGAGUUUCACACUGGACUUAGGCUGCCAGAGCUGGGCCACGAGCUGCAGUUCUCGCCUGACUCUAUCCCAUACAGAGUCAAGUCAUUUUGGAGUCAUAUGUGAAUAUACUGUUUGUUUAAUG